rnacentral:rRNA from 1 species
GACAAACGCUGGCGGCGUGCCUAAUACAUGCAAGUCGAACGAGAAAGCACUUCGGUGUGAGUACAGUGGCGCACGGGUGAGUAACGCGUAGAUAAUCUGCCUUUGAGUGGGGAACAACUAACCGAAAGGUUAGCUAAUACCGCAUGAGACCACAGUACCUGCGGGUACAGGGGUUAAAGAUUUAUCGCUCAUAGAUGAGUCUGCGUAUGAUUAGCUUGUUGGUGGGGUAACGGCCUACCAAGGCGACGAUCAUUAGCUGGUCUGAGAGGAUGAUCAGUCACACUGGAACUGAGACACGGUCCAGACUCCUACGGGAGGCAGCAGUAGGGAAUAUUGCACAAUGGAGGAAACUCUGAUGCAGCGACGCCGCGUGUGUGAUGAAGGCCUUUGGGUUGUAAAGCACUGUUCUAAGGGAACAAAAAAAUGAGCGUACCUUAGAAGAAAGGACCGGCUAACUUCG